UGGGUGUGGCUCAGAGGUAGAGCACUUGCGUGGCAGGCAGGAGGCUCUGGGUUCAAUCCCCAGCACUGCAA
rnacentral:tRNA from 1 species